CCUACGGGCGGCAGCAGUAGGGAAUUUUCGUCAAUGGGCGCAAGCCUGAACGAGCACUGCCGCGUGAACGAGGAAGGUCUUCGGAUCGUAAAGUUCUGUUGAAGGGGAAAAAGAGCGGAGAGAGGAAAUGGUCUCCGAUUGAUAUUACCCUUCGAGGAAGUCACGGCUAACUACGUGCCAGCAGCCGCGGUAAUACGUAGGUGGCGAGGGUUAUCCGGAAUGAUUGGGCGUAAAGGGUGCGUAGGCGGCCUGCUAAGUCUGGAGUGAAAGGUACCGGCUCAACCGGUAUAGGCUCUGGAAACUGGCGAGCUAGAGAGCAGGAGAGGGAGGUGGAACUCCAUGUGUAGCGGUAAAAUGCGUAGAUAUAUAGAAGAACACCAGUGGCGAAGGCGGCCGCCUGGCCUGUUACUGACGCUGAGGCACGAAAGCGUGGGGAGCAAAUAGGAUUAGAUACCCUGGUAGUC
rnacentral:rRNA from 1 species